rnacentral:rRNA from 1 species
GCAGAGCACUCCUUACGGGAGGCAGCAGUGGGGAAUAUUGCACAAUGGGCGCAAGCCUGAUGCAGCCAUGCCGCGUGUAUGAAGAAGGCCUUCGGGUUGUAAAGUACUUUCAGCAGUGAGGAAGGUGGGUAUGUUAAUAGCAUAUUCAUUUGACGUUAGCUGCAGAAGAAGCACCGGCUAACUCCGUGCCAGCAGCCGCGGUAAUACGGAGGGUGCGAGCGUUAAUCGGAAUUACUGGGCGUAAAGCGCAUGCAGGUGGUUUGUUAAGUCAGAUGUGAAAGCCCGGGGCUCAACCUCGGAAUUGCAUUUGAAACUGGCAAACUAGAGUACUGUAGAGGGGGUAGAAUUUCAGGUGUAGCGGUGAAAUGCGUAGAGAUCUGAAGGAAUACCGGUGGCGAAGGCGGCCCCCUGGACAGAUACUGACACUCAGAUGCGAAAGCGUGGGGAGCAAACAGGAUUAGAUACCCUGGUAG